GACGAACGCUGGCGGCGUGCCUAAUACAUGCAAGUAGAACGCUGAAGCGAGGAGCUUCCUCUUCUUGGAUGAGUUGCGAACGGGUGAGUAACGCGUAGGUAACCUGCCUUGUAGCGGGGGAUAACUAUUGGAAACGAUAGCUAAUACCGCAUAACAAUGGGUGACACAUGUCAUUUAUUUGAAAGGGGCAAUUGCUCCACUACAAGAUGGACCUGCGUUGUAUUAGCUAGUAGGUGAGGUAAUGGCUCACCUAGGCGACGAUACAUAGCCGACCUGAGAGGGUGAUCGGCCAAACUGGGACUGAGACACGGCCCAAACUCCUACGGGAGGCAGCAGUAGGGAAUCUUCGGCAAUGGGGGCAAGUCUGACCGAGCAACGCCGCGUGAGUGAAGAAGGUUGUCGGAUCGUAAAGCUCUGUUGUAAGUCAAGAACGGGUGUGAGAGUGGAAAGUUCACACUGUGACGGUAGCUAACCAGAAAGGGACGGCUAACUACGUG
rnacentral:rRNA from 1 species